AAACAUUAGCACCUUUCUUAGUUUACUUUCGGUCUCCGUUCGCAUGCAAUUGCAAAACAUCUAUAUAUAGAUUAUACAGAAAGAUACAUCUACAGAUAUUAUGUGGAAGUAUGCAACAUGAACUGUGCAAAUUAUUUUCAUAUGAAAUAGCUUUUAACAAAUUGGAUGGGAACAAUAGUAACAUUGGUAAGUAACAUCUAACUAUAACUUGUUCCCUCUUAAAGUAGGAUUAAAAAAACUGUUGAUUGUUGAGUGACUGCAUAGUCUUUUUAUGUAACACCUAAAAGAGUCAAAUUGUGAUUGAGUAGGACCUAUUUGAGAUUGAUAAAAGAAAAACAACAAAUAAUCUAUAAAUGAAUUUGUUUUAGUGGAUAACUUGAUUGUUGAGCUUCUUGUAUUUCAGUUUUACAUGCAUAGGUAGUUAUCUUAAUUGUUAGAAUAGGAAGUCUCUAUUGCUUUUCCUUUGAUACAAAGACAAACAAUUUGAAAGCCAUAUAAAA
rnacentral:misc_RNA from 1 species